rnacentral:lncRNA from 1 species
GGUCCAAUUAACUUUAGUGUGCGCUAGUGUGGACUUAGUGUACGGGGUGUUUCCACUAGGCCUUACGGUUCUCCGCCAGGAGUGCCCCAACCUCCAAUUUGUUUGAUGAAUAUUUUCUACUAUCAUUAGUAGUAUCAAUAUAUGCAUUUAGAACGGCGAGAGACGAGUCCAGGACGAAGAACAUUCAAACUUAGUGUUAGUGUUCGGCCAAGUGGAAACACCCUGUAAGAUGUCCAUUUCCACGACCUUCAUAGCAACACAUUUCGCUGGGUGGAUGAUCAUUCUUGCUGCCGGUGAGAUCGAUGGCAUGGUUAACGUGGUCCGCAGGUCAGAACGUAGGCGGACUAGAAAGCGAUGUACGACACAGAUGAAAAUGACUUGCGAAGGUAAUAAAAGCGGGGGCAAAUAAAGGCGGGGGCAAUGGCAAAACACGCGUGACUUUAAUCCAGGCCGGGUCCCAAUCCUAAUCCUGUGGGUGAGGUCCCAAUCCUACACUAGGGUCCUCAUCCUAAACCUGCCCUCAACUUUGUAUCCUAAUCCUGCCCCUCUUUCCGAAUCCUAAUUUUUGCCUGACCGGUACCCGAACCCAAUCCCUAAUCUUUGCACCCCUCUGCUUUAAUGCAAUUUUGCGUCGACGAACGUGGGUUGUAGUUGUGGUAAGUUAGCCCAGCGUGUAACUGUUUAGCUAUAGGUAAAAAUUUCCCACUGGCCAGAUGAAAUGGGUCCGUUUGUCUUGUUCUUGUUGUUGUUCCGCAUGGCCUGUCCGCCAGCCAGCUUGCACGUCGUCUUGUCGGCAGCCAUAGCCUUCGUCUCGAGACGCACGCCGUCUUACGGCCCGUGCUCUAGUUGCUGUAUCUCUCCGUUGAUGUUGGUCUGCUUCCCUAGUGGUCUCCGUUGAUGACUUGUCGUUGCUGGUCUUCUUCUUCUUGACGGUCUUCAUCGAGCCGUGAACCUCGUAAUAGCUGCAUCAGGAAAUGGCCUGUGCCUUUCGACAACAACUAACGCGUCCGCUGCAUCAUAUAUGCACGAUUUUGCUGGUAUCCAAGCAAACUGUGCCGACAACACUACCAAGCGCACCCGGGCGAAAUUUCAUCCUACCGCAAAAUACAACAAAACAUAAAUUGAACGCCGCCAGCACGAUGUGCGUUCCAAUUGGACGAACGGCAACGCAACAACACUUCUAACGACGAGAGCGCGCGAUUAGGCUGGCCAGGCGUAGUGGGGGCAGAUAGCUUGUUUAGGUUUCCCAGAGGUGGUGUGGCGCCUCUCGUGCGGCUCUCGCUUAGUUCGGUUUGCAGUCUUCUGCACCGCUGCGUUGCCUAGCCAGGGGCUGGGAGAGCGUCCUGGUUGGCGUGAGUGAGGGAGUGAGGCGCGCGCGGAGGAACAGACGGACGUAGAGCCGCGCGCCUGCCCCUGCGCUGUGUUUCGGCCCGGUCAUGGCCCCCGGUGCUCUCGGUCCUUUCCUCGUGGCGAGCCGCCCACAGUGUAACACCCCAACAACUUAUAACAACGCACAUACCAUCAACCUAGCUUGCA